GACGAACGCUGGCGGCGUGCCUAACACAUGCAAGUCGAGCGGGGUUGAGGCGAGAGGUAACUCGAGCCUCUACCUAGCGGCGGACGGGUGAGUAACGCGUGGGCAACCUGCCUCAAGGUUUGGGAUAACAGCCCGAAAGGGCUGCUAAUACCGGAUAUGCCUAUGGCCUCGCAUGGGGCUAUGAGCAAAGGGGAAACCCGCCUUGAGAUGGGCCCGCGUCCCAUCAGCUAGUUGGUGAGGUAACAGCUCACCAAGGCGACGACGGGUAGCCGGCCUGAGAGGGUGACCGGCCACACUGGGACUGAGACACGGCCCAGACUCCUACGGGGGGCAGCAGUGGGGGAUCUUGCACAAUGGGCGAAAGCCUGAUGCAGCGACGCCGCGUGAGCGAAGAAGGCCUUCGGUUGUAACCUCUGUCAUGGGGAAGAAGUAAGUGACGGUACCCAAGAGGAAGACCCUGCUAACUACGUG
rnacentral:rRNA from 1 species